rnacentral:misc_RNA from 1 species
AGACCCUCCCCUACGACACCCUCCAGCAAGCCCCACUCAAAUUCAAACACAGCCCAAUUUCCCUUUUAAGGGUUUCUCGUUCGCUAUACACAGAGAGAAAUAUCAGCGUGUGGAGCCAAAACGCGACAAAAACAUGCCUCGUACCAUCAAGUGCAUCCUCUGCGCCGUAGCGCUUGUUGCUGCUUUUGCGGCAGCACUGGCGAUUACGAUGACAGUCAGGGAGAGGGUGCCAAACGGCCUCUACUGCGGCAACUACGCGAGUGGCCUUGUGGUGGGCAAUUUGACUGUAACGUACGCAACACAUUUGUUCGAUUUGGCCUUGAGGGGACUGGGCAUGAACCUUAAGUGCAAGAAUGAGGUGUUCACGUACGAUCCCAAAUCGCACAUGUUGACGGCGGUUUCUGCCAAAGACCCUUCUGACUGCAUUGGCUCAGUCAUCGCGGCAAGCGGUUUGAAUUUGAGUGUCAUCUAUAAACCUACCGCUGACCUCAUCACUCUCGAUUUUGGCAUUGCGAAGAUCGACUGCAAGAAGUGCUCCGCCUAGUCUUACGCCCAGUCUGCUUUAUGAUGCUUGCUUUCCUUUAUUCUAGAAUAUGCUUCUUUUUUUUUCUCGCCGUUUCUUCUCGCACUGAUUAACCAAGGAAACCCUUUUUUCCCAACAAGUGAAUGAGUGAACGAUGCUUAUUUCUUUAUACUUGCUUGUUGUUGCUGGCGAGGCUGAAACAG